UGUCCAAAACGCCUCUGAACUCCUCCAAAAGCCCUCCUCCACCCCCGCAGAUCAGAGCUGGCAGCUCCCAGCGCCGCGGGGAACGUCCUGCCUCAGCUCCAGGCGGCUCGGAAUUAUCGCACCAUGAUGACAUUUAGAGCCGAGGAGGUGUAACGCUGCUCCAACAUGACCCGAGGACACCGACAGCAAAAAGAAGAACAACUCUCAUUCUUUACUUCAGCAGAGGAUGUCAGCUUCGUUUCAGAAUCUUGGAGCUCGAAGCCUGGACAGCAUCUCAAAUAUUCAUCUCUGUGGAUGAGGCCAGUUUGAACGCCAAGCAGAGCGAAGGUGGAAGUUCUGGGCCAGAGCUGUGCCGACAUCAUAACGUAUGCUGUAAUAUUAUCUGAUGGUCCAACACUGAGCAGCUCACUUCAUUAUUUGAUGACCUCUAUGAAAGACCUGUGUCAGGUGAGGAGAGCAGGCAGGUGAGGCUGAAUCCAGCUCCAGAUGUGCUGUCACACUGUUACUUUUCCCUCCACCGUCCUCUCUAUCCCUCAGCUCCACAGACCAAAUACAGGAGAAAUGGUUCACUAUCCCUGUGUAUCUGUAGCUGUCCUGUAUACACUGUCAGUUUAUUAGAAACACCUAACUAAAGCUAACUCAGUCUUAACCAACAGUCCUGCUGUUUCAGAUGUGCUGCUGCUGUUGACCUAUGUUGUGUGGUGUUUCUAUUAUUUUGUCCACCCCUGUACAUUAAAACAGCAUACAGGAAUUAAAUGGAAGCAACUAAUCUUUUCUCAUUUUCAGAAACAUGGCUCCUUCUUGACUUGAAAUGAUGAGUUCACUGAACUUGUUAAAUACAGUUUUUAAAGAAACAUGGUCAGUGUGUUUUAAAGAUUUCCCAGCAUGCAUUGUUUGACAGUCAAAACUCACCAGAGACCCUGAAAGACACAUGACAGAAAUCCACUGUGCGUCUCUGAGACAUGUUAAAUUAAACAUGUGUUAAAUGUAUUAAUUAUUCAUUAUGUUGUGUUUGUUUGAGAACUGGGUGAAGAAUUUUAAAAAAAGAAGAAGACACUAUAAAAGGAAUUCAUGAACCAACUG